rnacentral:rRNA from 1 species
CCCUUAGAUGUUCUGGGCAGCGCGCGCGCUACAAUGGUCUUCGCAAACGGAUGCAUUCUCGAAGGAGAAUGCCAAUCUUGGAAUCUAUGCCUUGGUCGGGACAGUUGCUUGCAAUUUUUCGACUCGAACCAGGAAUUCCUUGUAAUCGUGAUUCAUCACAUCACGAUGAAUACGUCCCUGCCCUUUGUACACACCGCCCGUCGCUCCUACCGAUCGAAGAGUUAGGUGAAUUGUUUUGAUCGAUAAGAUUUGACUAUGGUCAACUCUCGUUGUGAAAUUCUGUGAAUCUGACUGUUUAGAGGAGGGAAAAGUCGUAACA